UUGACUUCGCACUCCAGGAUGUCUGGCUCUAGGUGAGUGUUCAUACCAUAGUGGUUGUCUGGGCCAUUAAGAUCUUUUUUGUAGAGUUCUUCUGUGUAUUCUUGCCACCGCUUCUUAAUAUCUUCUGCUUCUGCCCUUUAUUGUGCCCAUCUUUGCAUAACAUGUUCCCUAGGUAUCUCUAAUUUUCUUGAAGAGAUCUCUAGGCUUUCCCAUUCUAUUGUUUUCCUCUAUUUCUUUGCAUUAUUCACUUAAGAAGGCUUUCUUAUCUCUCCUUGCUAUUCUUUGAACUCUGCAUUCAGACGGGUGUAUUUUUUGAGAAGAAAAAAGACCUGACAGAAUGAUAUAGUAGCGUCUUGAGAAAUUAAAAAAAAAUAAUCCUUGAAGAACCUAAUGCAAAAUAUCUUAACCUGACUAUCAUAAAAAAGGCAUCUAAGUUCAAAGACAUGUAGAAAGCAGACCUGGUCCAUAUCACACCCCAUCUAAACAAGCAGGUAAGGAUCGGAUACAGCUAUUUGUAAGUUAUAUCACCUUUUGACUUCAGACUUUUAAAAGUAUACUCUUUCACAACAGUAGAAAUAAAACUGGAUUUUGUAAUUGUGUGAUGGUUAUCACGACACCAUUAUCUAAGCUACCAAAACUUACACUCAGAGCCACAAACCCAAGUGUAUCGAUGUUCCUGAGAAUUCUCAUUGGGCAAUAAAUGAGUUAUUAUUUUAUUUAAACAUUAUGAAAUGUACUGAAUUUUUUUUCUCUUAGAUUUCCUACCGAUUCUCACAUUUAUGGAAGUGAAUAUUCCUGCAACAUUUGUGGUAGCGAUUUCCAUAUAAAUCCAGACUGUGUAAGUAACAAUGGAAAGUACCAAUGGAUACCUUCCAUUCACCGGUGACAGCCACCCAGGCCCAAGGCUAGUGGAAGGAGCCCAGGUGAGGACCCCAUGACCUGAGUACACACCUGCCCUGGUAGGGAGCCUGGCACUUCUGGAUGGCAAGAGAGAUCAAACGUGAACAGUGGAUGAAGGUGUGGUGGUCUCUGCACUUGAGAAAAUGUGGCAGGGCAUGGAGUUGUGUGCUGCAGAUAUGCCCCCAAUGACACGAGUGAUGAAUGUCAGCCAGAGGAAUCCGUAGCAUGUUGGUGACAGAAGUCGCAAUGAAGAUG
rnacentral:lncRNA from 1 species